GCAUUGCUGAGGAGUCCUACGAUAGGACGAAACAGCUGUCUAGUGC
rfam:Schistosoma mansoni strain Puerto Rico chromosome 1, complete genome